rnacentral:rRNA from 1 species
UGCCGCGUGCAGGAAGACUGCCCUAUGGGUUGUAAACUGCUUUUAUCCGGGAAUAAACCUCUGCUCGUGAGCAGAGCUGAAUGUACCGGAAGAAUAAGGAUCGGCUAACUCCGUGCCAGCAGCCGCGGUAAUACGGAGGAUCCAAGCGUUAUCCGGAUUUAUUGGGUUUAAAGGGUGCGUAGGCGGCCUGUUAAGUCAGGGGUGAAAGACGGUAGCUCAACUAUCGCAGUGCCCUUGAUACUGAUGGGCUUGAAUGGACUAGAGGUAGGCGGAAUGAGACAAGUAGCGGUGAAAUGCAUAGAUAUGUCUCAGAACACCGAUUGCGAAGGCAGCUUACUAUGGUCUUAUUGACGCUGAGGCACGAAAGCGUGGGGAUCAAACAGGAUUAGAUACCCUGGUAGUCCACGCCCUAAACGAUGAACACUCGCUGUUGGCGAUACACAGUCAGCGGCUAAGCGAAAGCGUUAAGUGUUCCACCUGGGGAGUACGCCCGCAAGGGUGAAACUCAAGGAAUUGACGGGGGCCCGCACAAGCGGAGGAGCAUGUGGUUUAAUUCGAUGAUACGCGAGGAACCUUACCCGGGCUUGAAAGUUAGUGAAUGAUCCAGAGAUGGAUCA